rnacentral:rRNA from 1 species
UACAGAGGUGGCAAGCGUUGUUCGGAAUUACUGGGCGUAAAGGGCGCGUAGGCGGCCAUCUAAGUCAGACGUGAAAUCCCCCGGCUUAACCUGGGAACUGCGUCUGAUACUGGAAGGCUUGAGUAUGGGAGAGGGAUGUAGAAUUCCAGGUGUAGCGGUGAAAUGCGUAGAUAUCUGGAGGAACACCGGUGGCGAAGGCGGCAUCCUGGACCGGUAUUGACGCUGAUGCGCGAAAGCCAGGGGAGCAAACGGG